CCUAUGGGAGGCAGCAGUGGGGAAUUUUCCGCAAUGGGCGAAAGCCUGACGGAGCAAUACCGCGUGAGGGAGGAAGGCUCUUGGGUUGUAAACCUCUUUUCUUAGGGAAGAACAAAAUGACGGUACCUAAGGAAUAAGCAUCGGCUAACUCCGUGCCAGCAGCCGCGGUAAUACGGAGGAUGCAAGCGUUAUCCGGAAUGAUUGGGCGUAAAGCGUCCGCAGGUGGUUUUGUAAGUCUAUUGUUAAAGCGUCUGGCUCAACCAGAUAAUGGCGGUGGAAACUACAAGACUAGAGUACGUUCGGGGUCAGAGGGAAUUCCUGGUGUAGCGGUGAAAUGCGUAGAGAUCAGGAAGAACACCGGUGGCGAAAGCGCUCUGCUAGGCCGUAACUGACACUGAGGGACGAAAGCUAGGGGUAGCGAAUGGGAUUAGAUACCCCCAGUAGUCCUAGCCGUAAACGAUGGAUACUAGGCGUGGCUUGUAUCGACCCGAGCCGUGCCGUAGCUAACGCGUUAAGUAUCCCGCCUGGGGAGUACGCACGCAAGUGUGAACCUUAAUGAAUUGACGG
rnacentral:rRNA from 1 species